CGGCCGAGGUGACAAGGGUUGGUUACUAUCAUGGUGUGUGUGCGUGCGCGCGUGUGCCUGUGACUGGAAACACACGAACAACGACUAUAUAUUUAAAAUUAUAACGUUGGAUUUAAGACAAACCACAACAACUUACCUGUCAGCAGAUGGAAACAUUGUUAGCAAAAAUCAAGCCCCCGAUAUAUUGAAGCAUCUCCUUGUUAACGCUGAGACCCGCCCGAGCCAUCCCACCAAGAUAAGAAGCACGAGACUGGGCUAGGACGCACCACGACUCCUAUGAGGUAAAAAAAAAAAAAUAAAAAAAAAAUAAAUAAA